rnacentral:rRNA from 1 species
GGAUCCAGACUUUGAUUCUGGCUCAGGAUGAACGCUAGCUACAGGCUUAACACAUGCAAGUCGAGGGGAAACGACAUCGAAAGCUUGCUUUUGAUGGGCGUCGACCGGCGCACGGGUGAGUAACGCGUAUCCAACCUGCCCACCACUUGGGGAUAACCUUGCGAAAGUAAGACUAAUACCCAAUGAUAUCUCUAGAAGACAUCUGAAAGAGAUUAAAGAUUUAUCGGUGAUGGAUGGGGAUGCGUCUGAUUAGCUUGUUGGCGGGGUAACGGCCCACCAAGGCAACGAUCAGUAGGGGUUCUGAGAGGAAGGUCCCCCACAUUGGAACUGAGACACGGUCCAAACUCCUACGGGAGGCAGCAGUGAGGAAUAUUGGUCAAUGGACGAGAGUCUGAACCAGCCAAGUAGCGUGCAGGAUGACGGCCCUAUGGGUUGUAAACUGCUUUUAUAAGGGAAUAAAGUGAGUCUCGUGAGACUUUUUGCAUGUACCUUAUGAAUAAGGACCGGCUAAUUCCGUGCCAGCAGCCGCGGUAAUACGGAAGGUCCGGGCGUUAUCCGGAUUUAUUGGGUUUAAAGGGAGCGUAGGCCGGAGAUUAAGCGUGUUGUGAAAUGUAGAUGCUCAACAUCUGAACUGCAGCGCGAACUGGUUUCCUUGAGUACGCACAAAGUGGGCGGAAUUCGUGGUGUAGCGGUGAAAUGCUUAGAUAUCACGAAGAACUCCGAUUGCGAAGGCAGCUCACUGGAGCGCAACUGACGCUGAAGCUCGAAAGUGCGGGUAUCGAACAGGAUUAGAUACCCUGGUAGUCCGCACGGUAAACGAUGGAUGCCCGCUGUUGGUCUGAAUAGGUCAGCGGCCAAGCGAAAGCAUUAAGCAUCCCACCUGGGGAGUACGCCGGC